UGGAAUUGGCUCCAGCUGACCCCUGUGACCCUGUGUUAGGAUAUAGCGGGUUGGACAAUGACUGACUGACAACAGCCCACCAUGCUGAUACCCAAUAAGGCUGCAAGUAAGGGAUUUUAAAGUUUUGCGUGUUUAAUCUGCUGUAGUUUGUAUGAUUUUACAGGAUUCUUUAUUAAUUCUAUCAAUAGACAGCUCAGAAGGAAAAGAGUACAAAACACAGUGUUGAAUAGUCAUUGGCCUGGGGGAGUUUCCUUCCACUAGAAACACUUUGUUUUCAGAACAAUUAAAAUUCUAACGACCAUUAAUAUGGUGAAAAAGUGGAGAAAACUGAUUUUUCAGAAAGGAGACAGCAGAACAGAAAACAAAAAUAUUAGUAAACUCCCAUAGCAUAUUGAGAAAAUUACCAGGAAUCCCAAGGACACAGGAAUGCCACAAAGGAGCAAACCCUGGACCCAACUAGUGAUGCCUUCUAAUAUUAAGUUCAAACUAGGUGAACCCAACUAAAAAGUAAGGAUGUUGAAGACAUGAGAGUUUAACCUUCAGAUCAUCAGCUUGUAGACCAUUGUAAGAGUGAGCAUAGAAACAAGACAUAUGGGGUUCAUCCUGCAUCACCAAAGUCUUACUCAUGCAGAAUCUUCGUGGCAGACAGGAGUUUUAAGAUAUUUUGUCCAAACUCUUCUCAAGAAACACAAGGAAAUGGGCAAAGUUGAGAACCAGAGGUGUAGUCCAGGGAAACGAGGUGCAUCCGACAAGAAAUAAUAUAAAAACUGACAAUUCUUUGAAAUCCAUUGGUAUCAGCUCUGAACUUAUAGUGUCUACUGCAACCCAAGUACAACAUUCUAUAAUAUAGAGAGGUCUUCUCAGAGUUGCUUCUGAAAAGCCAUUUGUGGAAGAGGAGGCAAAAAUCUCACCUACUCAGAAAAACAGGGAGGAAGUUUGUCUGCAGAAUAGCUGGGCAGUGCUAAAUGGUUGAGUUUAAACAGCCAAUGAAACCCAGUAGAUGUUCUCUGUAGUUUUGGGGUGCAUUUCUGCAAAUGGAGCUGAUCAUCUAGUCAGAAUUAAUGGAAUCCUCAACACUGAGAAGUAAAAACAAACUCUCAGACAUCAGGGCAAUGACCCCAAACACAUUGGCAAGGUCAUAAAUGACUAUUUUCAGCAUAAAGAAGAGCAAGGAGUUCUGCAACAGAUGAACCGGUCUCUACAGAGCCCUGAUCUCAACAUUAGUAAGGCUGCCUAGUAUUACAUGAGUGGCAGAAGCAAAUGAGACAGCCAAAGUCUGCAGACGAACUGGGCCAAGUUGUCAAAGAUGACUGAAACAAACUUCAGCCAAUUUUAAUUUAAAACUGUGCAAGAGUGUACAGUAUCUAAGGGAAUUGAAGGUUAGUUGCACCAAAUAUUGAUUGAUGUAGUUUUUGUAUUAUUAUUUACUGCUCUUAUAAUAAAUGUUUUGAAAUGUG